UACGUAGGGUGCGAGCGUUAAUCGGAAUUACUGGGCGUAAAGCGUGCGCAGGCGGCUUUGCAAGACAGAUGUGAAAUCCCCGGGCUCAACCUGGGAACUGCAUUUGUGACUGCAAGGCUAGAGUACGGCAGAGGGGGAUGGAAUUCCGCGUGUAGCAGUGAAAUGCGUAGAUAUGCGGAGGAAUACCAAUGGCGAAGGCAAUCCCCUGGGCCUGUACUGACGCUCAUACACGAAAGCGUGGGGAGCAAACAGG
rnacentral:rRNA from 1 species